GUCUGAGGCAGCAACGCCGCGUGCACGAUGAAGGCCUUCGGGUCGUAAAGUGCUUUUCUGGGAGAUGAGAAAGGACAGUAUCCCAGGAAUAAGUCUCGGCUAACUACGUGCCAGCAGCCGCGGUAAAACGUAGGAGGCGAGCGUUAUCCGGAUUCACUGGGCGUAAAGCGCGUGCAGGUGGCUUGGUAAGUUAGGCGUGAAAUCUCCCGGCUCAACUGGGAGAGGUCGUCUAAUACUACCGGGCUAGAGAACAGAAGAGGAAGAUGGAAUUCCCGGUGUAGUGGUGAAAUGCGUAGAUAUCGGGAGGAACACCAGUGGCGAAGGCGAUCUUCUGGUCUGUUUCUGACACUCAGACGCGACAGCUAGGGUAGUAAACGGGAUUAGAGACCCCGGUAAUCCUAGCCGUAAACGAUGUGAACUUGGCGUUGGUGGGUUAAACUCCAUUAGUGCCGAAGCAAACGCGAUAAGUUCACCGCCUGGGGACUACGGCCGCAAGGUUA
rnacentral:rRNA from 1 species